rnacentral:rRNA from 1 species
AUUGAACGCUGGCGGCAUGCCUUACACAUGCAAGUCGAACGGCAGCACGGGUGCUUGCACCUGGUGGCGAGUGGCGAACGGGUGAGUAAUACAUCGGAACAUGUCCUGUAGUGGGGGAUAGCCCGGCGAAAGCCGGAUUAAUACCGCAUACGAUCUACGGAUGAAAGCGGGGGACCUUCGGGCCUCGCGCUUUAGGGUUGGCCGAUGGCUGAUUAGCUAGUUGGUGGGGUAAAGGCCUACCAAGGCGACGAUCAGUAGCUGGUCUGAGAGGGCGACCAGCCACACUGGGACUGAGACACGGCCCAGACUCCUACGGGAGGCAGCAGUGGGGAAUUUUGGACAAUGGGCGAAAGCCUGAUCCAGCAAUGCCGCGUGUGUGAAGAAGGCCUUCGGGUUGUAAAGCACUUUUGUCCGGAAAGAAAUACUUGGCACUAAUACGGUCGGGGGAUGACGGUACCGGAAGAAUAAGCACCGGCUAACUACGUG